ACGCCUUGCAUUAUUGUGUGUGGACCCUCCUGCUAUGCUGCUGUUCGAUUUAUGCUCAGUGUGGACCGCAAGAUUGUGAAUGAUGACAUCACUACAUUCAUCGCUGCUGUUUGCCUAAUGUUCGGCAGUUAUUACUGUUUCAAUAUACACUACCCUACUGAACUGGCAUCAGUGCUUGAAUUUUUGCAAAGGUGCUUCUUCAUCAUCAAUCCUGAAAAGGGCACAAAGGUUGUGGAAAA